rnacentral:lncRNA from 1 species
GGAGGUUCUUGCACCUCAGGAUCAGCCUGAAGGCUCCUGUAGAGGUCUACCAGGGGCAAAGGAGACAACACCAGAGCUGACCAGCUCCAUCUAGCAGCUUCAGCAGGAGACAGACACCUGGCAGCCCAAGGGCCAAAGGCAGACAUUGGUGCUGGAGCCACAGCAUGGGGAGCCCAGAGCAGGGCUGCCAGGACAUGCAGCAGGAAGACCUGGAUCCAGCUCAGGUGCUGGUCACAAUACAGGCAUUGCAGCUGGACCUGGACUUCUGCAGGGGCACAAACCACAAACAACUGGUCCAGCUGCAGGAGCAGGAGUGUGCAGUGGAGCAGGAGCACCAGGACUUGGUCAUUCUGAUGCAGCAGUUCCAGGCACUGAUGGGCAAGGUCAGUGGUACACCCCUCCACCUGAAGGACCAGGCAGUGCAGACAGAGGUCACCUCCUACUUGGCUGUCCACAGUGAUUUUGACACCAGCCACGAUAUCCCACAGGAGAAGCUGCUCAAGCAGCUGCAGGCACAGGAGCAGAGCCAGGGCCUGCAGCACAGCCCAGCCCGGCUGCAGGAGCAGCUGGGAGUCACCCAGGCCCAGGAGAAGCAGAGUCUGCAGCAGCUGAGCAGAGCCAAAGAGGCCAUCCAAGGCCUACACCAAAAAGUGGCAGAGCUGCAGCAACAGCUUUGCUGGCAGGUGCAGGACAUGGAGAACCUCCAGGCAGAGCUGGCCCAAGUCCGGCAAGAAAGCACCAAGCAGGCAGAAAAGAUUGCAGCCUACAAGAUACACAGGCAGAAGCUUCAUCAGGAGCUGAGGAAAAUGCAGAGCUUCAAGAAGCAGAGCAAACAGAAGACCUACUCUCUCCAGGAGAGGCUGCAGCAGCUGACCAGCCUAGUCCAACACUGGCAGCAGCUACACCUGGACAGUGAACGAACUCUGGCUCUGCGAGAAGAGGAGCUGGUUGUCUGCAAGGUGGAGCUGGCUUUCCUUAAGGAAGAGUUCAACAAGGUGACAGAGCAGGUGCAGGACACAAACAGGCAUUCAAGGCACACUAGGCAAGAUGCAGGAGGAGAACCCGUUCCUAAUGUUCAGAACACCUGAGCAAUCACACAAGUGUGAGCAGCUGAAAAA